CUGUGCCGUACUAUGCCUCUGGCCUAAACCUCAAGUCUCCCAGCCGUGCACGAUUUUGUCCUGACUUCAGUGAAUUUACUCUGACUCUAAUUAAAGUCCAAGUC